rnacentral:rRNA from 1 species
AGUGAACGCUGGCGGUAAGCCUAACACAUGCAAGUCGAACGGCAGCACAGUAAGAGCUUGCUCUUACGGGUGGCGAGUGGCGGACGGGUGAGGAAUACAUCGGAAUCUACUUUUUCGUGGGUGAUAACGUAGGGCAACUUACGCUAAUACCGCAUACGACCUACGGGUGAAAGCAGGGGAUCUUCGGACCUUGCGCGAUUGAAUGAGCCGAUGUCGGAUUAGCUAGUUGGCGGGGUAAAGGCCCACCAAGGCGACGAUCCGUAGCUGGUCUGAGAGGAUGAUCAGCCACACUGGAACUGAGACACGGUCCAGACUCCUACGGGAGGCAGCAGUGGGGAAUAUUGGACAAUGGGCGAAAGCCUGAUCCAGCCAUACCGCGUGGGUGAAGAAGGCCUUCGGGUUGUAAAGCCCUUUUGUUGGGAAAGAAAAGCAGCAGGAGAAUACCCCGCUGUUCUGACGGUACCCAAAGAAUAAGCACCGGCUAACUUCGUG